rnacentral:rRNA from 1 species
UACGAAGGGUGCAAGCGUUAAUCGGAAUUACUGGGCGUAAAGGGCGCGUAGGCGGCACAGCAAGUCGGGAGUGAAAGCCCGGGGCUCAACCCCGGAAUGGCUUUCGAAACUGCUGAGCUAGAGUACAGAAGGGGCAACCGGAAUUCCCAGUGUAGCGGUGAAAUGCGUAGAUAUUGGGAAGAACACCUGAGGCGAAGGCGGGUUGCUGGGCUGAUACUGACGCUGAGGCGCGAAAGCCAGGGGAGCAAACGGG